UCAGAGUAACAUGUGGUAUAAUAUACCCUUCCCAUGAUGGAGCAUGGCUUUUUAUUUUGCUGAAAUGGCUUUCCAUUUUUCAUUUUAUUUGACUAGAGAGCUGUUCUUUCUGAAAAUGACCUAGAUGAUUUAGUAGACUAUAAGCUCACUAUGAGACAACAGUGUGGUUUCUCUCUGCUUAGACUUGUAAUAUGGCAGCCCCAAAUUGCUGCUACUUUAAGAGAGAGAAUAUCCAAAACAUGAGAAGUGAUGGUCCUCUUGCCCUCUGUUCUGGAUGCACCACAUCUAGAGUGUUGUGCUCAUGUUCAGGGGAUAUCAGGGAAUGAUACAUGUAAAAACAAAAGAGACAGUGAGGGUUCAGAUUGCAGUGAAAGCUUUAAUAGCAAAUGAAGGAGUUUAUGUCUUUGAUCUUUGAAUUAAUAGGGAUUUAUUAAAGGGUGAGAGAGAGAGAGAGAGAGAGAGAGAGAGAGAGAGAGAGAAAGAGAGAGAGAGAGAGACAGACACAGAAAUAUAAACAGAUGGAGACAGUGACAAAAAGAGAAAUAGAUAAGACACAGAGAGAAACUGAAAUAGAGAGACAGAGGCAGAGAAAGAGAAACAAAGAUAGAGAUGUGGUAUGAACUAUGCUUGUCAGUUCUCUUAGUUCUGUGAUAUUGGAACAUGCUAUUUUUUCUAUGUCUCAGUGCCUCAUUCCAUCCACAAAAGAGACUGUAAAGUCUUUGAGGUGUGGUCUGGUUCUUGUGUCCUAUUUUUGCAUCUCCUUCGCUUGCCUCAGACGGUGCCUUGUAUUUGGCAAAGGCUUAAUAUUUGUUGGAUGGAAUUGUUAUAAAUAGGAAUGGGCAUAGGAAUACUUAUGUGACCUUGGUUGAGUCACUUCAUCAUGCCAAUUAAGAGAUGAAGAAACUGUGUCUGAGAGAAAUGAUGGUCACACAGCUUAUAUAUGUGAGAGCCAGGAUUCGAAUUCAGUCUGACUUCCAACCUCGUCAUUCAACGCAAACUGCUCUCUCCAAAGGGGAAGAGGCUCACUUGCUAUCAUCUCUCCAAGAUUAAAGUGAAAAGGCCAGGCAUCUGAGAUUGGUACUGGAUUAACAUGAGGGCUAGCUGAGAAGAGUCAUGGCCACCAUUAUCUUGGAGACGUUAGAAAGGAUGGAUCAAAAGUUCAUGGGACCAGUGCUGGAAAGGGCCUCAGAGGUCAUCCAAUCCAACCCUUUCUUUAUACAGAUGAGGAAACUGAGGCCCACGGAAGCCAAGUGACUUGUCUAAGAUUUUAAUCCCCCAAAAUGUAAGCUCAUUUUGGAUUUUAACCACAAAAAGGUGUGAACACCCAUUUCAUACAUUGAGGGGAAGUCUGUGAAAGUGACACAAGAGAAAAAGGUCUUUAAAAGUGGAAACACAGACACACACAGUCACUUGGAGUGGACACAGUCACUUGGAAUGAAGUCUGUGAAAGUGACACAAGAGAAAAAGGUCUUUAAAAGUGGAAACACAGACACACACAGUCACUUGGAGUGGACACAGUCACUUGGAAUGAAGAGAGUCACUUGGAGUUUGAAAGAGACACACUCAGAGUGGAGACUGAUGGAGCUGAGGCUCAUAAAAGAAUCUGCUGAUUGAACUGACAUGUGGGAAAGCAGACUUCAAAGGAUCCAGCAAAUGGGUAGGACUCCAGGAACUUGCUAAAGAACACGUAAACCCAGAAGGAGGGGAAAUUCUCAAGGCUGGAAUUCCGAAGCCAUGAAGAGAUGAAAGAUCAACUUGGGAGGAAAAGGAGGAGCUAGCUGUCCAAACAGACUGAUGGAUUGGCACAAGGUUUUGCAACUGUGGAGGAAUAAUGGCAUCAAGUGAGAGUUUUUAAAGUGCAUAAAGAAGGAGGGAUCUAAGGAAGGGUUUUGUUCAGUGGUUGCACAUAAGUAUGUAAUAAUAAUUGUUUGAUUAUUAGUGAUUUGGAUGAAGAUGUAAAUGAAAAGCUUAUCAAAUGAGCAGAUGACAAGAAAACCUUUUGGAUGAGAGGGAAGAAAUGGAGUCAGAGGAGGUGAAUCAACUUCACAGGCACACACAGCUGAUAAGGUGGAUAUAUAGCUAUAACCAAGCGCUCAAGAUCUUUACCAUCUACAUGUGCAGUGUUGGGCUCUUCUCUGUCCCUUCAGGGUCUCAGUUUUCUGAUCUGUGAAAUGAAGGCACUAGACCACGUGCUCACUAAAGUCUGUUUCCAUGGUAAAAUUUUAUGAUUUUGUAUAACGAAACAGAUGGGGUAAGAGAAAGAGCUUACCUGAAUGACAAUGAUCUGAAUUCUUGGAAUCGAAGACUUGCUCAUUCUAGUUUUGGAUAGCUCUAGUUUGCUUUUCUUUUAGUCUUAGUAACUUCAGACCAAUUUCGAAUGGCGAGGGCUAGGCAGUUUGGGUUAAGUGACUUGCCCCCAGGGUCAUAUAACUAUAAAGAGUCUGAGGCCAGAUUUGAACUCGGGUCCUUCCAGCUUUAGGUCUAGAAAUCUUUCCACUUUUACCUAGUUGUCCCUAGUUCCCUUACAAUAUUGAUCUGCCAUGCUACAACAUCUACCUAUUAGAACUAUUUCAAUCCUCUUGGGGCAAACAUAUUCAGUCUAGUUUCUCUAUGAAUGACACCUUAAAUAGUUGAAGACAGACAUCAUCACCGACUCAUUCUCUCCAAUGUUGCCAAGAGAACCUCAGAAAUACAUGUUUUUCAGAUCAUUUACCAUCUUGGCCCUGCUUCCUUAAGACACACUCCAAUGAGCAUUGGGUCCUGUAUCCCAGGGACAGACUUGCACUUAGGGAAAAGACAUAAAGAACAUUUUUAAUUGAUUAUGACAAUAAACUAAUCAUGACAACAAAGAACAUGAAUUUGAAACUUUGAAGUUGGACUUAAGCUUAACUUAGUGUUUUAAAAAAUAAAAAUGCAAAAUCCUGCCCAGCAUCCUCCCAGCUAGUCCCACAAGGUACUGAAGGGGAAGGAGUUGUAGACCAGGAAUCUCAUAUUUCUAUACAUCAUGGUUUAAUAUAUGUUGACAAGCUGAAGAGUAUCCAAAGGAGGAAAGGUGACCAAGUUGGUGGAUGUCCUUGAACUCAUGCUAUAUGAGGCAUAUGAGGAGAGUCACUCUUGGGAUAAAGGUAUAGGAGGUAGCUGUGCCUGGAACAUUGUAGGUACUUAAUAAAAAUUUCUUGGUUGACUACAAGUACUUUGAAGGACUAUCUUGUGGGAGAGGGGUUAGAUUGGUUCAGUAUGGCCAAGAUGACAGAACCAGGAACGAUGGGAGGGAAGUACAAAGAAACAACUUUAAAAUUGUUUCACAAAAAAACUUCCUAAUAUUUUGAGUCCUCCCAAAGUAUAAUGGGCCGCCAUGGAGGUCAUAGCCUUACCUCUUCACGGGAUUUGGUUAAGCAAAAACUGGAUGCCCCCUUGCUGGAUAUACUGUAGAGAGGGGAUUCCAGUUCAGGUGAAGUUUAGACUAGGGGUUCCAAACAGUUCUUAAAAAUUGUUGU